rnacentral:lncRNA from 1 species
GCAGUGGGCAGUGGCCACUCCAGCAGGUGACCUCCACCUGAGGACAAGGACUCCCGUGGCACAGCAGAGGGCCUUGGCGGCACUUUUCAGGCAGAGGCAGCACCCGAUGACCAGCGCCCUGGCCAGUCAGAGGGAGCGACCCCUGCAGUGCAGCAAGACACUGCGCUCCUGUGAUUUGGGGAGGCUGCUAAGACACAUCGCCCUGACCCACCGAGGGCCGGGCCGUGCUGCGGACCGCGGUUUGAAUGGAGCGAUGUCAGCGGUGACCAUGUUAAGCCGUCAGGCGGCGUCACCGCGAUGCGGUGCUGUUCCGUGGCCCUGGUGCCGCUCACCCACCCUAAAGCUUCAGAAACAGAGCCAAGGUUGA